AUGAGCCGCCGGAUCUCCCAGUGAGGAGGCCGAGGCCGCUGAAUCCGGUGACCCCGGUCUCCUCGCCGGCGGAUCUAGCGCAAAGA
rnacentral:miRNA from 18 species